GACGGAGGAUGCAAGCGUUAUCCGGAAUGAUUGGGCGUAAAGCGUCCGCAGGUGGCAGUUCAAGUCUGCUGUCAAAGACCGGGGCUUAACUUCGGAAAGGCAGUGGAAACUGAACAGCUAGAGUAUGGUAGGGGCAGAGGGAAUUCCUGGUGUAGCGGUGAAAUGCGUAGAGAUCAGGAAGAACAUCGGUGGCGAAGGCGCUCCGCUGGACCAUAACUGACACUCAGGGACGAAAGCUAGGGGAGCGAAUUGG
rnacentral:rRNA from 1 species